UUGAAAGCGCCAUGCACCACAGGCGGCUGACCUGUGCGUUAACGAGGUGGGAGGAAGAUCGAAUGUUCGGCGGAUGCCUCCCCGGCUGCGGAUAUCCAGCCGUCAUGCUGUCUACAAACCCCGGCGGCAACUCCGGGACAAAAG
rnacentral:ncRNA from 1 species